GCUUGUCUCAAAGAUUAAGCCAUGCACGUCUAUGUAUAAAUGUAUUUUAUACAUGAAACUGCGCAUAGCUCAUUAAACCAGUUAUAGUUUAUUUGAUAGUGACUUGCUACAUGGAUAACCGUAGUAAUUCUAGAGCUAAUACAUGCCAAAAAGGCCUGACCGUAUGGAAGGGUCGUAUUUAUUAGAUAAAAAACCAAUCUCGCAAGAGUUUUGUGGUGAUUCAUAAUAACUGUUCGAAUCGCAUACCGCAAGGUGGCGAUAGAUCAUUCAAAUUUCUGCCCUAUCAGCUCUCGACGGUAGUGUAGUGGACUACCGUGGCAUUAACGGGUAACGGAGAAUUAGGGUUCGAUUCCGGAGAGGGAGCCUGAGAAACGGCUACCACAUCCAAGGAAGGCAGCAGG
rnacentral:rRNA from 1 species